rnacentral:rRNA from 1 species
UACGUAGGGUGCAAGCGUUGUCCGGAAUUAUUGGGCGUAAAGAGCUCGUAGGCGGCUUGUCACGUCGACUGUGAAAACCCGGGGCUCAACUCCGGGCCUGCAGUCGAUACGGGCUGGCUUGAGUGCGGUAGGGGAGACUGGAAUUCCUGGUGUAGCGGUGAAAUGCGCAGAUAUCAGGAGGAACACCAAUAGCGAAGGCAGCUCGCUGGGACGUUACUGACACUGAGGCGCGAAAGCGUGGGGAGCGAACAGG